AGGGAUGUGGUUAAUUAACAAGACAUGCCUGUUCUUUGUUUAUCUUGCCAUCUACUCAUUUGGUGGCUUCACGGGCCUAGUAGAGAAGUUUGGAGUCUUCCUCCAACCGAACCUGUGAAAAUCCAAGACAUCCGUCUAUCUAGUGAACAACGAAGUCUCCUUUUCCUUUUUCUCCUCAUAUUUCUCUUGACAAGACGAACCAUCUAGGGUUCCGGUUUACUUUCGGUGAGGUUCUUGAGAUGGGGGACUUUUGUCGUACGUGGAGAUGAACCCACAGUCGUGUUGAAGAGACAAGUGCUCUUAGACCCAUGUUUUGGUUUCCGCUCUGAUAACUCCAAAUAAAGGAAAUUGAAUAUUGUGGUGCAUUAGAUUAGAUAGUAAUUUUGGUGCCACAAAUGAAUAAUUUUUGAGUUAAUUUCAUUAUGGGACACAUUUUUCUCUUUUUUGACAUUUUAAGACACAAUGUGCUGGAGGCACACUUUCACAGUGUACGAAACAUCUUUUUGACUCAUAUGCCCUUUGCUCAACGAUAGAAAAGAGUGAUAUAAUUGUUUUAGCUAAGCAUCUGAAAAGUCAAUUUGUUAUAUAGUUAGAAAAAGUAACUUGCAGAUGUACUUAAGUACGUGUAUAUAAGAAAGUGUCCACCAUUUUAUUUUUUAUUUUAUGCUAUCGUUGUUUCUUUUAUUUCACUUUUGUUUUCUUUUACUCUUAUCUCAAAAAUUAAAAUAUAUAAAAUAAAUAUAGUUAACAUAAUAAAUUAUACAUAAGAUUCUUUAUCUUUCAACAUCCAUUUCAUAUAUAUAUAAACAUUUAUAUAAAAAUGUGUGGACAUGGACAUGAACCUAAAUUUUUUAAAAGCAGACGUUCUCAAUCAUAAAAAAUAAAUUUGUGGAUAAAAAAUGGUGGACAAAGAUCUCAAUAAAUAUGAUAAAUGUAGGAUAUAUAAUUUGUUGUAUAGAACGACGAAUUCAAAAAUUGUAAACAUAAUAAUUUAUUGUUGUGGACAGAGAGACGUGACUAAAUCUGUGGACAUGGACAUGGAUUAAAUUUGUGGAUAUGGACGGAAUCUGUUGAUAAAAAUUUGUAGACAAAAACGUUUUCAUUACUUCACAAUAAAGAGAUUCGUCUAAAGGAGAACCACAGAACCAGACUGUCGUACAUAUAUAUUUCGGUGGAGGAUUCUCGAGAGUUCCCAAGUCGUGUAGAUGAGAUUACACAAUCAAACUCGCGGCGGACCUCUGGUUUCAUGGUGUUCUAUGGAGAAAUUGAAGAUGAAGAAGAAGAGGGUUCACGGAAUUAGGGUUAGUAAACGAAGGGACCAUCAAAUUGGGGAAAAUAAAUCUGAAUCUGAAAAAAUAAAGUUGGAGAGAGAAUAUAGAUUGGUUUUUGAAAACUCAAAAAUCAGAAACUGAUCAAUCGUUUUUUUUAAGAAGAAAAAGUGACAGCUUAGUUAAGAAGGGUUGUGGUAGAUUGAGGACAUAUAGGACAUUGCAUAAAGAGAAAAUGUGCCUCCAGCAACAAGUGAUCUAUUGUGUAAUUUGAAAGACAAAAAGUGUCUUAAAGAGUAAAAAAUUCAUAAUUUUUUGGAUGUGUUAAAUGUGGUUACGUGGGAGUUUAGUGAUCUGGUGAUUUAUCUGGUGUCAAAUUUUUUUUGUUUCUUUUGUUUUUCUUUUUGGCAAAUAGUAUAUGAGAUUUGAUAAGGUCAACAAGAAUAAUAUUUCUUUCCUUGUUACCAAUGUUGACAAAAUAAAAUUAAAAGCUACAACAAUUUAUUUUCUUUUGUUCGAAAAAGUUGGUGAAUAUUUUACUUUCCCUCGAUUCCAGAAGAAAAAGAACAACAACUUUCUUCACGUCAUCGACUGAGUGUAUGACACGUGGAUAAAAAGCUAGAAAUGAAAACGUCUCUCCACCAUUGAUCUACUGACUACACCUAUUCAUGAUGGCAACCGGAAAAGAGAGUUCGACCUGCAAUGGUUGCGGUGGCGCAUCAUAGGGAAGACGGGUUUCUUAUCCGCUUUUGUGUUUCCAUUAGGUCAUUGAUAUUUGAGCUAGCUUUAUAUUCGUCAGAGUGAGGUCUUUGAACGAGAAACAUGGUUUGGGAAAGAAAGCCUUGGUGGCUUUUUGGUGAUUCUGAUGUUGGUCACAUAUAUAGCUUCUUGCUCUGAUAGGUACGGAUCAGGUACAGUAGCGGAGCCAGCCUGACAUUUUAAGAGGGUCAAAUUCAUGAUUUGUAUGUGUUGCAUGGGUCGAUAUAUCCAAAACUUGUAACUUUUUUUUCCUUACUUUUAGGAAAAACACAUGUAAAAAAUUUUAAUAAAACAUUUUCAUGUGGAUCA